UCAAAUGCAUCAGCGAGGGUUCUAAACGCGCGUUAAUACAACGACAGCAUAAAGUCGUCGGUGCCUUCAUUAUUUUAAGGUUAAGAUUCUUAUGGUUUCGGCGACGGCAUGGGACCAUCGCUGAUUAGAAUAAACGGUCGCUGAUGUUUUACCACUUAAUUCAAACUCACACUCAAACGCGACUAUUUUCUCAAAACUUCCUCUCACUUAACUGUUUACUCUUUGCGAAACCGGCGAAACACGUACCACCACCACUGAACUGCAUUGAAGGAAAUUCCCGCAACCGGAGACCGGCGAGAGGCGACACAAACCAUCUGCCGGCAGUAAUAUCUACUGCUUAAUGUUUAUUUUUUUUAUUUUUGUCACCCUAAAAAUUGGGUUUUUUAAUUUGGAUAUAGUUGACGCAAACCACCUUAUGCCAGCGCAACGAACUGCAUUACUUCCUCUGCCGUGCUUCUUCCAGGCCAGUCCAGGUAAUCAUGUCUAAUCCUAAGGGCCGCGGAGGUCGAGAUGGCAUAGGUGAAAGCCAAGGUCGUGGGAAUUUGAUUCCAAUGGAGCUUUUUGAGUCACCAGGAGCACCAGAAAGCCAGAACCACAUCUCAGAGACGGAAGGAGAUGAUUCACAGGCACGUAACUUUGGUAACCACGUACCGGAGACGCCGAAAAUUCAUGGGGAGGAAGGUGAAGGGUCAAACCGUGCACCAAAAAAGGUUUUAAGCCCUACUGGAUUGUGGUUAGUGGGUCCAUCACUGAUAUUUUCCAGAGCCAUUUUCGAAAACCUUAGUUCAACUACAUUGAGGUAGAUGAUGCCACAAGAACGCAUUGGUGGAACUCAUUCACGGGUCUUUAUGAAUGGGCUCCUGAAUUAGAUGACCAAGUGAGGAAAUCGUACAAGAUGAAAGCUGCAUAUCGUCUGAGAGACAUGUGAUAUUGGGUGCUUAAUGAAGCCAAAGAAAGGCCAAAAUGGUUGGGGGAAACCAUCUACGAAGCUAUGAAAAAGAAAAGUCAAGACCCCGCGUUCCUCGAAAAAUUUGACAAUGCAAAGAAAAACCGAAUUGGUGGCUCCCUCUCUAAUCCAAUUGAGUCGUCACACUUUCAGGGUUCUAUCUCGGCGGCACAGCAUGCUAGGAAGAUGGCAAAGACUAGAGGAGGAGUACUCCCUACCAUUCCUCAGUUGUUCUUGAAGACUCACUUUAAUACUGUUCCUGGAAAAGGAGAAAUUGCAGCAAACAAAAAAGCAAAGCAAAUCUCGAUACAUACUUUUAAACAUAUAUUUAAGCCAUUUUAGGCCAUUUUGCUAUGAAAAUGAAUAGUUUUAAGUUUUAUUGAGUUAUAAACACAUCAAACAUCAUAUAUAUACUUAGUUUAAUGUGUUGGAUUAUAGUUUUGAUUGAAAUUACAAAAUAUAGGCAAGU